GACGAACGCUGGCGGCGUGCUUAACACAUGCAAGUCGAACGGAAAGGCCCUGCUUUUGUGGGGUGCUCGAGUGGCGAACGGGUGAGUAACACGUGAGUAACCUGCCCUUGACUUUGGGAUAACUUCAGGAAACUGGGGCUAAUACCGGAUAGGAGCUCCUGCUGCAUGGUGGGGGUUGGAAAGUUUCGGCGGUUGGGGAUGGACUCGCGGCUUAUCAGCUUGUUGGUGGGGUAGUGGCUUACCAAGGCUUUGACGGGUAGCCGGCCUGAGAGGGUGACCGGCCACAUUGGGACUGAGAUACGGCCCAGACUCCUACGGGAGGCAGCAGUGGGGAAUAUUGCACAAUGGGGGGAAGCCUGAUGCAGCAACGCCGCGUGCGGGAUGACGGCCUUCGGGUUGUAAACCGCUUUCGCCUGUGACGAAGCGUGAGUGGCGGUAAUGGGUAAAGAAGCACCGGCUAACUACGUG
rnacentral:rRNA from 1 species